rnacentral:rRNA from 1 species
AGAACGAACGCUGGCGGCAUGCCUAAUACAUGCAAGUCGAACGAACUCUUCGGAGUUAGUGGCGCACGGGUGCGUAACGCGUGGGAAUCUGCCCUUGGGUUCGGAAUAACAGUUGGAAACGACUGCUAAUACCGGAUGAUGACGAAAGUCCAAAGAUUUAUCGCCCAGGGAUGAGCCCGCGUAGGAUUAGCUAGUUGGUGAGGUAAAGGCUCACCAAGGCGACGAUCCUUAGCUGGUCUGAGAGGAUGAUCAGCCACACUGGGACUGAGACACGGCCCAGACUCCUACGGGAGGCAGCAGUAGGGAAUAUUGGACAAUGGGCGAAAGCCUGAUCCAGCAAUGCCGCGUGAGUGAUGAAGGCCUUAGGGUUGUAAAGCUCUUUUACCCGAGAUGAUAAUGACAGUAUCGGGAGAAUAAGCCCCGGCUAACUCCGUGCCAGCAGCCGC